GUAAUUCAACCCCUUUUCCUGAAGAUUCAAAAUGUUGUUUUUAAUCCCAUCUCUUAUGAGAAGAAAGAGAAUGUGGCUAAGAGACCAAGUCAAUCAUCUGUCCAGAGGUUUUGAGAAAACGAAAUAUGAUGGGGUGGGAAGUUGUCCCUGGCUUCUAUUGACAUAUGAAACAAUUAGAGCCACGGUAAUUCUAACCUGUGAGCUGCCAAUUGGAAAUCAAGUGUUGUAGGGAAAUUAAAAGAAAUCUUGGCCAGGUGCAGUGGCUCAUGCCUGUAAUAGCAACACUUUGAGAGGCUGAGGUGGGAGGAUCACUCAAGCCCAGGAGAUCAAGACCAGGCUGGGCAAUAUGAUGAGAUCCCAUCUCUACAAAAAAAUUAAAAAUUGGCUCAGUUUUGCCUAUGAUCCCAGCCACUUGGAAAUCUGAGGUUGGAGGAUUGCUUAAUCCUGGGAGGCAGAGGUUGCAGUGAGCCAAGAUUGUGCCACUGCAUUCCAGCCUGGGUGACAGAGCAAGACCUUUCCACCCCUACUCUGCAAAAAAGAAAAAAAAGGAAAUCUUAGGAAAAAUUUAUGAAGGAAGAAAUUCACCUCCCUGCUAUAAGAGUAGUCGAUAAAAAGCCUUUAAUAAUCUUGCUACAAAAGGUAUGGGAAAGGCUCCCAUUUUAUGUAGUGUGUGUGUGUAUAUAAAUAAUACAUAUUGAUGGAGUGUUUUUUAUAUGUUGGGCAGAGUAAGGGACACAAAGGGUCACAAGAGGUUUCAGAAACAAGCAACAAGUCCUAUCUCCUGAUGGCUUCCCUUCCUUCACAUCACUGUCAUAUGGAGGACUAUCAUGUAUGUUUGUGUACAACCUGCACAACUGUACAUGGUUCUUUGUCUUCAUGAAAAGAUAGAGACCACUCAGAUCCUACAAUCCAUUUCCUUAAGUUCUGCCCUUUUAAGUUGUUGCAGAAUCUCAAACAGCCAUGACUAUGAAAAUGGGGAACAGAUACUGUGGCACUGUCAAUGGCCUGGCACCCAGGGAAGCAAGACUGUGGUAUAUAACAAACAGGGGGCUGAGGCAGAAGAGGACGAUCAUAUUCUUGGGAUCCUAAGAUGGGUUUCAAAAUGGCAUGAAUAUCAUGGUCAAGUCCCACUGGAUACUGCUUCUGGUUCAAGGUCCUUUCUGGGUUGUUUUAUUGAAAGUGACUUUAGUUUAUAAGAUAGUAUCAGGGAAAGGGAGACCACGAGCUGCCCUGAAUAGGGUUUAAGCAGUGGUUUCCCAAUUGUUUUGAUUGUAACCCACAGUAAAAUCAGCAUUGUGACUCAGUAGGAAUAGGCACAAACAUCAACACAGACUGCUCACUAAAACUUGCUCAGCUGAUAGUUACAUACUGUGUGCAAUGUACUUUGAUAAAUUCUUUUGUUUUCUGUUCUAUUAAUCUAUUUUGCUUUUUAAAAAUUGCUAGUUAUGACACAGUAAUUUGAUUUCAGGACUCACCAAGAGGGUUUUAUCCUGCAGUUUGAGAAACAACUGCAGAGAUAUGCAGAUUUAUGCAAAAGGUCCUGUGUCUACAGUUUACGCUUUGGUUUCAUGAGGUUAUUUAUUAAAAUCACAGGACCUAGGACCAGAUUAGGAGGGUUCAAAUCCUAGUUCUUCUUAUAAGCUGUGUGAUUGUGGGCAAGUUAUUAAUUCUGUGACUCAGUUGUUUCAUCCAUUGAUAUGGCUUGGCUGUGUCCCUACCCAAAUCUCUUCUCGAAUUGUAACUCCCAUAAUUCCUAUAUGUUGUGUCUCAUAAUUCCCACAUGUCAGAGCCCCCACACACAGUGCCUACCAGGGCACUGCCUAGUGGAGCUGUGAGAAGAGGGCCACUGUCCUUCAGACCCCAGAAUGCUAGAUCCACCGACAGCUUGCACCAUGUGCCUGGAAAAGCCACAGACACUCAACAGCAGCCCAUGAAAGCAGCCAGAAGGGAGGUUAUACUCUGCAGAGCCACAGGGGCGGAGCCGCCCAAGACCAUGGAAACCCAACAUCAGCGUGAUCAGGAUGCAAGACAUGGAGUCAAAGGAGAUCAUUUUUGAGCUUUAAGAUUUGACUGCCCUGCUGGAUUUCAGACUUGCAUGGGGCCUGUAGCCCAUUUGUUUUGGCCAAUUUCUCCCAUUUGGAACAGCUGUAUUUACACAAUGCCUGUACCUGCACUGUAGCUAGGAAGUAACUACCUUGCUUUUGAUUUUACAGGUUCAUAGGUGGAAGAGACUUGGCUUGUCUCAGUUGAGACACUGGACUGUGGACUUUUGAGUUAAUGCUGAACUGAGUUAAAACUUUGGGGGACUGUUGGGAGGCAUGAUUGGUUUUGAAAUGUGAGGGCAUGAGAUUUGGGAGGGUCUGGGGCGGAUGAUAUGGUUUGGCUGUGUCUCCACCCAAAUCUCAUCUUGAAUUGUAACUCCCACAAUUCCCAUGUGUCAUGGGUGGAACCCAGUGGGAAGUGACUGAAUUAUGGGGGUGGGUCUUUCCUGUGUUGUUCUCAUGACAGUGAAUGAGUCUCAUGAGAUCUGAUGGUUUUAGAAAGGGGAGUUUCCCUGCACAAGCUCUCUUCUCUUGUCUGCCACCAUGUGAGACGUGCCUUUCACCUCCGCUAUCAUUGUGAGUCAUCUCCAGCCACGUGGAACUGUAAGUCCGUUAAACCUUCAUAUUUUGUAAAUUGCCCAGUCUUGGAUAUGUCUUUAUCAGCAGUGUGAAAACAGAGUAAUACAUCCAUAAAAGGGGGAUAAUAACAUCAACUAUCUGUAUUAGUCUGUUCUCACGUUGCUAAUAAAGACAUACCUGAGAUUGGGUAAUUUAUAAAUGAAAGAGGCUUAAUUGACUUACAGUUCCAUAUGGCUGGGGAGGCCUCACAAUCAUGGUGGAAGGCAAAGGAAGAGCAAAGGGACGUUUUACAUGGUGGCAGGCAAAGAGAAAUCUUGUGCAGAACACCCAUUUAUAAAACCAUCAGAUCUCAUGAGACUUAUUCACUAUCAUGAGAACAGCACGAGAAAGACCCCCCUCCAUGAUUCAGUUACCUCCUACCAGGCCCCUCCCACAACCUAUGGGAAUUAUGGGAACUACAGUUCAAGAUGAGACUUUGGUAGGGACACAGCCAAACCAUAUCACUAUCUUAUAAACUAAACUUAGGUAAUACCUAACUGUACAUGAAACUUUGAGAAAUGAAAAUGAGGUUGGAUAUUUAUCAAAAAGUAAUCAAAUAAGCCAACACUUAGAUUACACUUACUAUAUACCCAUAAGUGUUGGCUGUUGUAACUUCCAACAAAAUCAAAGUUCUCCCAUGAUUCCAUUAACACUGGUUUAUCCAGAACAUUGGAUAAACAUUGACUUUUCUCCAGAAGCAACAAAUAGAUCAAGGUCCUUGGUGGUGUGUGAAUUUUAUCAGUCUCAUUCUGAGAAAUAUGAGGAAAGAAUGAGAGCCUAAAUAUGUGAGUAGGGGAGGAAGGGCUUACUUCCUGCAAUGAAUGCCCACAGGCCAGGGGUGGAAGAUUUGGGGAGAGCUCCCUCACAAACCCAUCACAAGGAGCCACAUCCUCACAAUGAUCUGUAAAAGCUCAUUAACUGCAGGGUCCUAACUUGUGCAUGCAGCUCUUAGGAUUUUUCUCUCCAGUGGUCAAAGUUUCUCUUUGUGGUCUAACUGGAAUAUUCUAUCUGGCUUGAAAUGAUGAUUUGAGGAAACAGGUCCAGUGGUCUGAUGCUCAGUUACUCACUCACUGACAUGAGGUUCCUGAAGUUUUCCAACAUCACAUCUUGGUACAGGUUUAUCUGGGCUUUAUCCAAUAGUGCCAGCUCUUCCUUGGUGAGGACAACAGCCACGUCCUUGAAUAUCACCCUUUCCUAAAACAUCAACCACAUGCCACAUCAAUCAUCCACACAAAUGACUGGUCUUAGUCUGUUUGGGCUGCCUUAAUAAAAUACCAUAGUCUGGGUUAGAUUAAACAAACAAAAGAAACUUAUUUCUCACAGUUCUGGAGAUUGGAAAGUCUAAGAUCAAGUACCACCAAGAUAGGUUUCAUUCAGGUUUCUUCUCUUGGCUUGUAGACAGCUGUCCUCUCACUGUGUCCUUACAUGGCAGAGGGAGAAUGAGAGCAAGCUCUGUUGAGUCUCUUUUCAUAAGGAUACUAAUCCUAUUGAAUCAGGGAUUCCCAAAGGACAAUAUUAAUCAAAUUAUAAAAUAUGGCCCAGGACACAGGCGCAGAUAAAUCUAUACUAAGGUGUUGUGCUGAUACAUAAGUCCAGUAGUGUUUCAUGAGUUCAUUUCCCAUCACACACCAAGGUUUGGUAUUUUCACUUUUUCAUGGCAGAUUAAUCUAUUUUUAUCAUGUUAAAGGAAAGUAAGAAGACAGGGUAACUUAAAGCAUUGGCUCCUAGAUUCAAAAAACAGAAAAGGGAAGAGGGAGAUUAUUAGGAUAAUUUAGAACAUUUGGAUAUCAACUAUUAAAAAAUAAUGGUAUCAAUGUGAAAUUUCCUGAGUAUGUUAGCAGUAAUGUGGAAAUGUAGGAAAAUGCUCUUAUUCUUAGGAGAUAUAAACUGACAUAUUUAGGGAUGAAUUAUAAUGAUGUCUGCAAUUUAUCCCAACUGGGUCAUCAAAAUAAAAUAUAGAUAUGUGUGUGUAUAUACACAUAUUAUGCAUAUGUUUGUGGUGAUUGUUAACAAUUGGUGAAUC
rnacentral:lncRNA from 10 species